rnacentral:rRNA from 1 species
ACGACUCUCGGCAACGGAUAUCUCGGCUCUCGCAUCGAUGAAGAACGUAGCGUAAUGCGAUACCUGGUGUGAAUUGCAGAAUCCCGCGAACCAUCGAGUCUUUGAACGCAAGUUGCGCCCGAGGCCACUCGGCCGAGGGCACGCCUGCCUGGGCGUCACGC